rnacentral:lncRNA from 1 species
UUGGUCCAUCGAACCAACUGAGGUGAAAUCCUAUCUACGGCCGGGUCCUCAACUUCUACCAGGACAAUAUCCUAGUUAUAGCCAGGCUCGGAGUGUAAGUGGUACUGUUCGGAUAAGUUCUGACAAAAAAACUAGCCGAGUAGGAGGAAAACCUAGCCAUGCCUAAGUCCUUCAGAUCCCAAGUAGCAUGUUAAUACUCUUUUAGAUGAAACUUUGAGCGCUGC